GAUCUCUCAUGUCCUAAUCCCAUACCCGAACCCACAACACAUGUUGCGCCGCCGCCGUCGUUGUUUCGUUCGGCACGCACCUCCUCACGACGCAGUCCUCGGCCGCCCCGUCGGAACGCCGCCUCCGUCUCCAUCUAGCCACCGAUAACCUCCUUCUCGUAUCUUCUGUCGCAAAGGCGCAACAGGGAUCAUCUCUUUCACGGGCGGCCACGAGCUCCGUCCCCAGAUCGGUGGCGCACUACACCCAGAAGCAUGUAUCCGAUUUCUUUUUCUGGAGUCCCUGGGCGCACCGAAGCCAGAUCCGCCACGCUCCAGACCUGUCCGGAGGUACGCGCGGACGUCGGGGCAGUUUCAGUUGGGGAGUCUCGGUUGGGAGGGGCUCAGGGCAUGUACCCUUCAAGGGGCUCGAUUGGCUGUUAGACAGAAACUUUUAGCCAUCAAAUUAUUAUUGCACUUGCGAGUCAAACUGUGCAAAAAGAUGGAUCAAAGGCCACCAUGGCAUCGGCACAUUGACAAUGAUCUUGCUCCUCUCAUUUUCUUUCUUUCUGAAUCCCUCAAUCCAUCAGAGGAGCUCAAGUCCAAGUAGAGGCAGCUCAUGAAUUUCUGAACAAAGACAGUGAGCAAAGAAUCCCCCAAAGAGCAAAGAUGUGUUUGUUAGUUUGCAACUAGCACACAAAGAAUGUCAACCUUGAAACCUAAAGCACUUUCUACUUAGAGAACUACUGGCUCAAACAGAGAAUUUCUGCAGCAGCAACAUAUAUGAAAAGUGUUGUUUUUUAUUGUUUACCAGGGGAAUAUACAUAUCACUAUCCAAGAAUGACUUCAUGUUCUGGUACUCUUUUUUUGGUUAUAUCUUGGGAGAAUACACAUUGGACUGUGUGGGGAGUAUAUAUCUUUUCCGAAAAGUAAAGUAAAAUUCAAGGGCAGAAGAUUCACAAUAUAAUCGUUCUUGAGGUGUCCACUAGACCUGAAAUGAUCAGUAUCCCCUGGAUUUUCAAUUCAGUGUGCUGAUGGUGAUGAGUAUGGUCUCAAGCCUGCAGAAAAUUCCCCGUAUAUAUUUAUGUGCUGCUUUAUGCCGAUGGGGAUUUCCUUAUCUUGGAAAAGUGUAAUGUAGGCAAAUAGUUCUGGGGGAUUACAAGGUCAACUGCUCAAUUCAUAUGGAUACGGUUCAGCAUCUACAGUGAAAUCACAAGGGAGGAGGGGCAUCAAGGUAGGCGACAUAGUUGCUGCUGAGAGACCAUAUAACUCCAACUCUGUGCUAAAUCUGCAGUUCUGCAUGGACGUUCGGGGCAAGAAUGAGAACUGCCGCUAUAGCCAUGCCUCACUAUCCUGCAGCACAAUUGUGGAGAAUCACCUUAGUUUAAUUUUUCUCACCAUGCUUCACUUCCAUUCAGUGUAGUGGAUUCUAGCUAUUUGAGAGGUAACAUGUUUUCAAAUGCUACCCUCAUAUUUUUUCAUUCUGGUGUUUCUCAUAGCUGUUCGGGUAAGAGAUCAAUGGGAAAUGACCAUGUGUUUGGAUAGCAAGUUCUUUGGGCACUUUUCCAUACUGAUCAAAAUAGUAAUUCAAACCAAUUACUUUCUUGACAUUCCACAUGUGCACAUCCUGCUUACCCCACUUAAUCAACAUGUGGGCCAUGUUUUAGUUCAGCCUUUGCCCUAGACCAAAAAAAAUCUUUGUCGUUGCCAGCAGGAAAAUUAGCAUUUUUUUAUGUAUGUUUCGUUAUGCAUUCAUAGAUCUUCAUGUGCAAUAAUAAGGCAUUUUCUAGCUUCUGAUGCUGCUA